rnacentral:rRNA from 1 species
UACGGAGGGAGCUAGCGUUGUUCGGAAUUACUGGGCGUAAAGCGCGCGUAGGCGGUUACUCAAGUCAGAGGUGAAAGCCCGGGGCUCAACCCCGGAACUGCCUUUGAAACUAGGUGACUAGAAUCUUGGAGAGGUCAGUGGAAUUCCGAGUGUAGAGGUGAAAUUCGUAGAUAUUCGGAAGAACACCAGUGGCGAAGGCGACUGACUGGACAAGUAUUGACGCUGAGGUGCGAAAGCGUGGGGGAGCAAACAGG